GACGUAGGGCGCGAGCGUUGUCCGGAUUUAUUGGGCGUAAAGAGCUCGUAGGCGGCUCGUUGCGUCGGCUGUGAAAACCCGCGGCUCAACUGUGGGCUUGCAGCUGAUACGGGCGGGCUGGAGUUCGGUAGGGGAGACUGGAAUUCCUGGUGUAGCGGUGAAAUGCGUAGAUAUCGAGAGGAACACCUGCGGCGAAGGCGGGUUGCUGGGCUGACACUGACGCUGAUGCGCGAAAGCUAGGGGAGCGAACGGG
rnacentral:rRNA from 1 species